GACGAACGCUGGCGGCGUGCUUAACACAUGCAAGUCGAACGGAAAGGCCCUGCUUUUGUGGGGUGCUCGAGUGGCGAACGGGUGAGUAACACGUGAGUAACCUGCCCUUGACUUUGGGAUAACUUCAGGAAACUGGGGCUAAUACCGGAUAGGAGCUCCUGCUGCCUGGUGGGGGUUGGAACGUUGCGGCGGUGGGGGAUGGACUCGCGGCUUAUCAGCUUGUUGGUGGGGUAGUGGCCUACCAAGGCUUUGACGGGUAGCCGGCCUGAGAGGGUGACCGGCCACAUGGGGACUGAGAUACGGCCCAGACUCCUACGGGAGGCAACAGUGGGGAAUAUUGCACAAUGGGCGGAAGUCUGAUGCAGCAACGCCGCGUUCGGGAUGACGGCCUUCGGGUUGUAAACCGCUUUCGGCUGUGACGAAGCGUGAGUGACGGUAAUGGGUAAAGAAGCACCGGCUAACUACGUG
rnacentral:rRNA from 1 species